UACGGAGGGUGCGAGCGUUGUCCGGAAUCACUGGGCGUAAAGGGCGCGUAGGCGGUCUGUUAAGCGUGUGGUGAAAGCUCGGGGCUCAACCCUGAGUCGGCCAUGCGAACUGGUGGACUAGAGCACUGUAGAGGCAGGUGGAAUUCCGGGUGUAGCGGUGGAAUGCGUAGAGAUCCGGAAGAACACCGGUGGCGAAGGCGGCCUGCUGGGCAGUAGCUGACGCUGAGGCGCGAUAGCGUGGGGAGCAAACAGG
rnacentral:rRNA from 1 species